rnacentral:lncRNA from 1 species
AUGGCCCCCCCCGGAGCGCUGCACGUCCUCCAGGUGAUCCCGCCGCUCUUCGCGACUCUAUGGUUACUGGCUGCUCCCCCUCCCGCCGGCGCAUGCGCGUUUGAGUUCGACCCCGUCGGGAGCGGUUUCGGGGCCCGGCUCGAUGCGUUGAGCGCCCCCUGCCGGCACCUGUGGGCAUUGCACUUUGGGGUGGCAGCAUUGAGGCACAUGGCGGGGGCUGCGGGGGGGGAUCUGUCAGCUCUUAUCAGCGACGCCGCCGCCCAGCUCAGCUUCAUCGACGAGUGUCACA